UGUGACUGCGUACCUUUUGUAUAAUGGGUCAGCGACUUAUAUUCUGUAGCAAGGUUAACCGAAUAGGGGAGCCGAAGGGAAACCGAGUCUUAACUGGGCGUUAAGUUGCAGGGUAUAGACCCGAAACCCGGUGAUCUAGCCAUGGGCAGGUUGAAGGUUGGGUAACACUAACUGGAGGACCGAACCGACUAAUGUUGAAAAAUUAGCGGAUGACUUGUGGCUGGGGGUGAAAGGCCAAUCAAACCGGGAGAUAGCUGGUUCUCCCCGAAAGCUAUUUAGGUAGCGCCUCGUGAAUUCAUCUCCGGGGGUAGAGCACUGUUUCGGCAAGGGGGUCAUCCCGACUUACCAACCCGAUGCAAACUGCGAAUACCGGAGAAUGUUAUCACGGGAGACACACGGCGGGUGCUAACGUCCGUCGUGAAGAGGGAAACAACCCAGACCGCCAGCUAAGGUCCCAAAGUCAUGGUUAAGUGGGAAACGAUGUGGGAAGGCCCAGACAGCCAGGAUGUUGGCUUAGAAGCAGCCAUCAUUUAAAGAAAGCGUAAUAGCUCACUGGUCGAGUCGGCCUGCGCGGAAGAUGUAACGGGGCUAAACCAUGCACCGAAGCUGCGGCAGCGACGCUUAUGCGUUGUUGGGUAGGGGAGCGUUCUGUAAGCCUGUGAAGGUGUGCUGUGAGGCAUGCUGGAGGUAUCAGAAGUGCGAAUGCUGACAUAAGUAACGAUAAAGCGGGUGAAAAGCCCGCUCGCCGGAAGACCAAGGGUUCCUGUCCAACGUUAAUCGGGGCAGGGUGAGUCGACCCCUAAGGCGAGGCCGAAAGGCGUAGUCGAUGGGAAACAGGUUAAUAUUCCUGUACUUGGUGUUACUGCGAAGGGGGGACGGAGAAGGCUAUGUUGGCCGGGCGACGGUUGUCCCGGUUUAAGCGUGUAGGCUGGUUUUCCAGGCAAAUCCGGAAAAUCAAGGCUGAGGCGUGAUGACGAGGCACUACGGUGCUGAAGCAACAAAUGCCCUGCUUCCAGGAAAAGCCUCUAAGCAUCAGGUAACAUCAAAUCGUACCCCAAACCGACACAGGUGGUCAGGUAGAGAAUACCAAGGCGCUUGAGAGAACUCGGGUGAAGGAACUAGGCAAAAUGGUGCCGUAACUUCGGGAGAAGGCACGCUGAUAUGUAGGUGAAGUCCCUCGCGGAUGGAGCUGAAAUCAGUCGAAGAUACCAGCUGGCUGCAACUGUUUAUUAAAAACACAGCACUGUGCAAACACGAAAGUGGACGUAUACGGUGUGACGCCUGCCCGGUGCCGGAAGGUUAAUUGAUGGGGUCAGCGCAAGCGAAGCUCUUGAUCGAAGCCCCGGUAAACGGCGGCCGUAACUAUAACGGUCCUAAGGUAGCGAAAUUCCUUGUCGGGUAAGUUCCGACCUGCACGAAUGGCGUAAUGAUGGCCAGGCUGUCUCCACCCGAGACUCAGUGAAAUUGAACUCGCUGUGAAGAUGCAGUGUACCCGCGGCAAGACGGAAAGACCCCGUGAACCUUUACUAUAGCUUGACACUGAACAUUGAGCCUUGAUGUGUAGGAUAGGUGGGAGGCUUAGAAGUGUGGACGCCAGUCUGCAUGGAGCCGACCUUGAAAUACCACCCUUUAAUGUUUGAUGUUCUAACGUUGACCCGUAAUCCGGGUUGCGGACAGUGUCUGGUGGGUAGUUUGACUGGGGCGGUCUCCUCCUAAAGAGUAACGGAGGAGCACGAAGGUUGGCUAAUCCUGGUCGGACAUCAGGAGGUUAGUGCAAUGGCAUAAGCCAGCUUGACUGCGAGCGUGACGGCGCGAGCAGGUGCGAAAGCAGGUCAUAGUGAUCCGGUGGUUCUGAAUGGAAGGGCCAUCGCUCAACGGAUAAAAGGUACUCCGGGGAUAACAGGCUGAUACCGCCCAAGAGUUCAUAUCGACGGCGGUGUUUGGCACCUCGAUGUCGGCUCAUCACAUCCUGGGGCUGAAGUAGGUCCCAAGGGUAUGGCUGUUCGCCAUUUAAAGUGGUACGCGAGCUGGGUUUAGAACGUCGUGAGACAGUUCGGUCCCUAUCUGCCGUGGGCGCUGGAGAACUGAGGGGGGCUGCUCCUAGUACGAGAGGACCGGAGUGGACGCAUCACUGGUGUUCGGGUUGUCAUGCCAAUGGCACUGCCCGGUAGCUAAAUGCGGAAGAGAUAAGUGCUGAAAGCAUCUAAGCACGAAACUUGCC
rnacentral:rRNA from 1 species